UACGUAGGGAGCAAGCGUUGUUCGGAGUUACUGGGCGUAAAGGGUGUGUAGGCGGUCCUCUAAGUUUGGUGUGAAAUCUCCCGGCUCAACUGGGAGGGUGCGCCGAAAACUGGAGGGCUAGAGUACUGGAUGGGAGAGUGGAAUUCCUGGUGUAGCGGUGAAAUGCGUAGAUAUCAGGAGGAACACCUGUGGUGUAGACGGCUCUCUGGACAGUAACUGACGCUGAGACACGAAAGCGUGGGUAGCAAACAGG
rnacentral:rRNA from 1 species